GAUGAACGCUGGCGGCGUGCCUAAUACAUGCAAGUCGAGCGAAGCGGGGACAGGGGAGUAAAACGUGGAGAACCUCCGCUAUGAAUGGGAUAACUUCGGGGAACCGGAGCUAAAACGGCACCUUAUCGCAGGAUCCGAGCUGCAUUAGCUAGUUGGUAGGGUAACGGCUGACCAAGGCAACGAUGCAUAGCCGACAUGAGAGGAGGAUCGGCCACACUGGAACUGAGACACGGUCCAGACUCCUACGGGAGGCAGCAGUAGGGAAUCUUCCACAAUGGGCGAAAGCCUGACGGAGCAACGCCGCGUGAGUGAUGAAGGCCUUCGGAGCGUAAAACUCUGUCAUCAAGGAAGCGGUACCCAAAGAGAAAGCCCCGGCUAACUCCGUGCCAGCAGCCGCGGUAAUUC
rnacentral:rRNA from 1 species